rnacentral:rRNA from 1 species
CGGAACGGGUGAGUAAUACAUCGGAACGUGCCCUGUAGUGGGGGAUAACUAGUCGAAAGAUUAGCUAAUACCGCAUACGACCUGAGGUGAAAGUGGGGGACCGCAAGGCCUCAUGCUAUAGGAGCGGCCGAUGUCUGAUUAGCUAGUUGGUGGGGUAAAGGCCCACCAAGGCGACGAUCAGUAGCUGGUCUGAGAGGACGGUCAGCCACACUGGGACUGAGACACGGCCCAG